AGUUGAAAAUCUUACAAAUUUUGUGAAAGUUAGAUUAUUUAAGGUUUUUCUGAAAUUAUGUGGAUAUAAACUCUGUAUUUGAAAGUACAUGUAUACUUGUGAGCUUUAUGUUGUUUUAACCUUAUGUCAUGUGUGAUUUCCCAAUGAUCACCCAAUUGAUUUCCAUAGUUUUCGUGGCAAUGGAAUCAGAUCUAGGUCAGUGCUCUUUCACUUUGGAUGACGCGUUCUUCCCUACUGCCCAUGGGGGGAAGAGGUUCCUUAAUUGUGUGUGGGUGAGGUUGCUGCCAAAAGACCACAUGCAAAAGAGGUCCUAUUUAACACGUUUUACCUGCUGUCCAUGGAGGUAGAGAAAAACCUUGAGGGUAUGGGUGAGAUUGCUGCCCAUGGAGCCAAAAGACUGUAUAUCAGAGAGGACAAUAUCAUUCCAGUUGUGAAUGGGUGGAUCUUCUGACCGGUCUAUGUGGUAGUGUGGUAUAUUUGUGAUAAAUUACCUUAUGUUUGAGUUUACGGCUUUGGAAUUAUAUUGCUAGUGCUCACAAAUUACAGUAUAUAGUUUCAAGAUUAAUUAGCUAUACCUUGGGUCUGGAGCUUACUUCAUUGGUGACGAUUGAAGUGCUAUGUUAAAUUUGGAGACUUUUGCUGUAAAUGGUUGGUGACUCGAUUUUGCUAUGUCCAAUGAAACCUUAAUUGAUUCUAUUGGAGGUUGGUCGCUUGAGGUUUGUUAGUCUUAGGUGUGGUAUGUCUAGAUUUGGUGUUAAGGUUCCUUAUUCUUGGUAAGAUUGUGAGUUUGUGUAAUCCAAUUGGAGUUUUGUAAUAUAUUCAUGUAUUAUGUGGAGGCACAUGACUUUUUUGUUAUU